rnacentral:lncRNA from 1 species
GUCCUCCGGAAGUGGGCCCCGGCAACGCAGCGUUCCACAUCCCGCCCAUUUUUCUACCCAACGUCCCCAGCCCGUCACCACCGCCACCACGGGAGCGAGGGAGGUGGGUCUGCAGGGCCUGAGACUGUUCUACAGCCACUGUUCACAGGGCUGAAGAACAGGUGUGGGCAGAACCAGGUUGUGAGAAGGAAGCCGGGCGCAGAGUAGCGGCCGUACAGGAGGGGGAGGGGCAGAAGAGACUGGCCAGCAGCGGAAGCGCGCGGCAGGUGGAGCCGCGCGGGAAGAAGCACGCAUGCGUCGCGGGGGGGUUGGCCCUUGGGGUGCUGGGCGGAGCUUGGGAGGGGCGAGGACGCUGAAGUAGGGGCGGAACCUGUGCGGUGCAGCCCUGCCCUCUCCCUCCGCCCAAAGGUCGCCCAGCGACGGCCUGCUUGACCUGGUUUCUCAAAAAGGGUGACCCCCCCCCUCCGCCCCACGCUGGUCGCGGGUCCUGGCGAGAAGCCUUUCGGAAAGCACCGGGGCCUGUGUGUUCCCGCUUCCUCGGACGCGAGCUCUGUGUAGCCGUGGUGGAGGAAGGUUUUGUUUCGUUCAUCGCUGCUGUUUCUCGCUGCCUCUCUUGACGAGGCAGGGCCCUUGCAGGGUGCGCCCGCGCUGCCCUCUGACAGGUGCUGUUGGUACCUGCGGCCGGGCCCGCCGUCGCCGGCGCGUGAACGGCCUGCCCGAGGCUGCCGGGAGGAGGGCUGCCUGGCCGGCGCGGCCCUUCCCGUCGUGCCCCGGGCUCCUCGGAAGCAGCCUCCCGCUCCUUCAGACGUCGGACUCCUGAGUUUCGAACCUGCCCCGCGGUUUCCCCCUCACGCUGAAUCCAGGGGAGCCGCUACUCGUUUUUGAAGUUCCUAUGCAGCCCUCUCCCGACAUGUUCGAGAAUCUUGCCGGACUGGGGAUGGAUUUGCAGCCUCCGUGUUUGCCCCCACGGUUCGAAAACCGGAAUCUAGGCCCGGUCUCCUGGCCUGUGUUCUGUCGUGGGAUUUCUCCAGAGCACGGACUGACUUAACAUUUCCAUUACUGGGAAUGUAAUGGUUGCUGCGUCAGGACUCUGGAGAUGAUUUUUUUAUUUGGAACGAUAUAAUUUUUGGAAUUUCCUUAAAGGGAAAAAUACAUAUUGCUUAAUUAUAUUGCUUGGGAUAUAUUAUUGCAAGGAAGAAGAAAAUAAGACCCUUUCUUCCCCCACCUUCAAACCUUCUCCGCCCACCUGUCUUUCCCAUGGGCAUUAAUGGCGGCUCCAUUUACUCAGGCCAGAACCAGAAGAGCCAGCUUCACUCUCUCACCCCCUCUACACAAUCUGACUAGAAAUCCUGUUGACCCUACCUUCAAUCUGUGUCUAGGAUGCAACACCUCAACAUGUCCACACCCCCCUUCAUCCCUCACCUGAACACCUAGGUCUCCCUGCCCUCCCUACCCUCCCAGUCGCUGGGUUUCCGUACAGCAGCCACAGGGAUCCUGUCGUUUCUGUGCUCCAAACUGCACAGCGGCUCCUCAGUUUACUUGAAAUAAAACGCCAAAGUCCUUACAAUGGCUGCAGAGCCGGACAACCCACUGGCCUGCCUAGCUGUCUGACCUGCUCUCCCCUUCCUCUGUUAGCUGCAUUGGCCUCUGCACCGGCUGUUGUCUAUUUGUAAAACACCCCUUCCAGGCAUUUCCAGGACUGAACCCUUCAGCUCUUUCAAAUCUUUCCUCCCAUGUCACCUCAGUGAGGCCUUUCCUGACCAACCUGUUUAAACCUGCCCCUGACCCAGAGCACUGCUAGUCUCCCUUGGCCUGCUCCACUUUUCCCAGGACGCUCACCACUUCCUGAAAUACUCGCCGGGUUUACCAUGUAUUGUCUGUCUCCCACUACUAGAAUUUAAGUUCCCUGAGUGGAGGCACAUUUGAUUUUUGAUUGCUAUAUCCCGGUGGCUGCAACAGUUGGCUGGCCCAUGGUAGCAGCUCAGCACACAUUUGUGGAAUAAAUGAACCAAUGAAUGAACUUGAAAAGCUACUUUCACCGCAGAGUAUUCCCCUUCGGGCUUCUCUCACAUGGAAAUAUAUGAACAUAGGUAUAAGCACAGUAUACAGAUUUUGCAUUAUGAUUUCUAAUCAUACCAUAGAGACUUUACAUAUUUCUAAGUAUUUUCAUAAUUAUAACCAUUUUUACUUAAGUGACCUUCGAUUUUUCGUGCUUGUUAUAACAAGUCAUACAGAGUUGUGUAAAUAAAAAUUUGUCUCCUGUCCCCCUCUCAUCCCACCCUGCUGAAAGGAACCACUUUUAAACUAGUGGAUAUCUUUCCAAAUAUUUUUUAUACACACGCACACACACACAGGCACACACACACACACAUACAUAACAGGUACAAAUUUCACAGUCCAAAGACAGAUAUUCCUGAAUUGUAACUUUAUUUUCUAUAAUUCGAGUCAAUUUGUAUUUUAGGUCUUUCCUCCCAUAGUAGAAAAAUGAAAUCUAGUUUAUUUAAGGUAAAUGUUAGUAUGUAAUGAUGUUUAUUUAUUAAUGAGCAAUUACAAUUUAAUUUCAGUUGCUUCAGAAUUUACUAAUGCCCUUCUCUCCUUUUCACCAUAUAAUUGCCGGUUUUAAAAAAUUAUUAAAAAAUAUGCAAUAAUUACAGGAAAAUAUAAAUGAUAAAAUAAAAAAGCAAAAACCACCUGUAAAACCAGCAGCUAGAAAUAAGUUUAUGAAAAAUAUACUUCUAUGGCAUUUUUAAUGACCAAGUGGCAUACUAUUAUACAAAUGUACCAUAAUUAUCUCCCCUAUUUUUGUACAUUUGGGUUGUUUUCAACUUUUCACUUUUGCAAAAUUACUUGUAGCUAAAUCUGUGUGCACGUCAUUUUUUUUUUUUUUAGGAUAAAGUCUGGGAACUCGUGUCGAAAGGUGUGCUCAUUGUUGAAGGCGUUUGUUUGAUAUGAAAGAUACACAGAAAGAUGGCACAGCUUUGACACCAACUUUUCUCCACACCCUGCACUGUCACACCAUUUUUUGUCAUCUUUGUUAAUAUGAUAGAACGAUGGUUUUGCAUUGUUGUUUUAAGUUUUAUUCCACUAAUUGCUAGUAAUGUUGAACCUGUUUUUAUGCAUCACUUUUGCAGAUUGCCUACAGCAUAUCUUUUGCCCACUUGGAUUCAUCUUUGUCUUAUUCAUUUGCAAGAACUCUUUAUAGAAUAUCAGCCCUUUGUUACCUAUGUUACAGCAAUUUUCCCAGUUUGUCAUUUGCUUUUUAAGUCUGUUUAUGUGCUCUUUUGACAUUGCAGUAGUCACCGCUAGC